AGCCAAACUGGAAAUAUAAUU
rnacentral:piRNA from 1 species